CCUCUUUCACAACAGAUACAUCAACACCAAUGUUGUCGGCCUUCACUUUUUUGUCUACUUUCUUGUCACCAUCCUUCCCAUUAAAAAAGUGAAAACCGCCCAAAUCAAGCCGAUCCUUCUCCUCGGCCGUGGGAAUCAAACUGUUUAUCCUCAGCUGAAAAAUAAUAAGUAUACUUUAGUAUAUCAUCUAACAAACAAUGUACAAUUACAUUGAAAUAAACAGUAAAUAAGGAAUCAUAAAACAUAAUCAGUAACCAAAUACAUAUAUACAGGUAACCAAAUGUAUAAUAAGUAGUAACCAACUAAAUGUAUAAAUGUAACCAAAUGUGUAUAUUCGGGUAACCAACAACAAUGUCAUUAGUAACCUGAAUGUAAUCUAAUCAGUAACCGUAUUUGAAUAUUCAAGUAACCAAAAACAUUGUCAUUAUUAACAUGCAUAUAAAAUAAUUUGUAACCAAACAUGUAUAUAAAGGUAACUAACUACUUUGUUGAUAGUAAACUUCACAUAAUAUUAAUAUUAAUACUAAUUACUUAUUUUGUUUUUUUGUACACAGUUUCAAAUGACACAUUACAAUUACAUUUCGAAUAACACGUUACACAGUUGGGAUCCUUUUUUCUAUAUUUUCACAUAUCAAUCCUAAGUUACAACUUAGACCAUUACUCAUGGUUAUUAAAGAUUUUGCAAGUAGUGAAAUAAAGCAGCCAGCAGCAGGCAUCCAGUUUGUUUGACUGUGACGUUGAGCUUGAGGAGUAUUUGAUGAAAAGCUAAGCCUCCUUACUUGGAGCUAGCACCAAAGGAGCAAAAGGCACCAGUGAUUUUUGGGCUACAAAAGGUACCAAAGCUAAGGGAAAUAAUUGAAUCUGAAUUUUGUGAGACUGGAUCCAUUGAGAUAGUGGAGGGAUUGAGAGCGCUCAAGCUAUGGCUAAAGAAAAAGCUGAUCUAGCUAUCCAAACUCUAGAAUGCCUUCCUUUCCACUGGCUCUCGAGGGAAUGCUGAAUUAUAAUCUUGAGAGAAUUGACUAGACAAAAAAUAAGCUGCUUAUGAUUGGUUUUAGAUUCAUAAAGAAUUAUGCCUCCUAAUAUCUGUUUAUUAAAUUAAGGAAUUAAACCUCCAAUAUUUAUUGUUUGUUAAUAUCACUUCCACAUAACCACGAAAUAUAUUGGUGGGCCUGAAUUCUAAUCUGGAUACAAGCAAAUUAUGAAUAAAUAAACGAAGGGAAGGCCCACUCCAUUUAUUUAGUUUUAGAGUGAAGAGAGGGGUAAAACAGACAUCCGCACUAUCACUCUCAGUCUACCUAUAAAUUGAGAUGAAGCAUGCUAGGGUUUACUGAAAUUGCCUUUGAGAGAUCCGACCGCGCCUGUAUAUAGUAGCGGCUCGCGUUCCGUUGCGGGCAUACAAUAACGUUAUAGUCCUAUCUUCAUCUCUGCAUCUGUAUUUCUUUUCAAAUCUCUUGCAAAGACAGGCAGGCCUAACAUAUAUAUACAGUUAUAUUGAUUUAUAUAUAUACAGUUGUAUUGAUUUUGAGGGAGGGACAGGGCCGAUCCAAUGGGUUCUCGCUUGCAAAAUAAUGUUUUAAUGUGUGAGAGCUCAAUUUCACCCGGCCUAUAUUUUGGGGCAGCUUCCUUCUCCUCCUCUUCUUUUACAUGCUUUCUCUUUAGUGUCUAGAUUUGGAGAAUAUGCCCAACAUUCAUUUUUUUUUCUUUAAUAUUUUACGUGUAUACACUUGAAUGUCGUUGUAGUUGUAAAUAUUAUAUCUUUCUUCUCUUUGGAUAAUCACGAA
rnacentral:lncRNA from 1 species